UGGGGAAUAUUGGACAAUGGGCGCAAGCCUGAUCCAGCCAUGCCGCGUGAGUGAUGAAGGCCUUAGGGUUGUAAAGCUCUUUCGGCGGGGACGAUAAUGACGGUACCCGCAGAAGAAGCCCCGGCUAACUUCGUGCCAGCAGCCGCGGUAAUACGAAGGGGGCUAGCGUUGCUCGGAAUCACUGGGCGUAAAGGGCGCGUAGGCGGACAUUUAAGUCGGGGGUGAAAGCCCAGGGCUCAACCCUGGAAUUGCCUCCGAUACUGGGUGUCUCGAGACCGGAAGAGGUGAGUGGAACUGCGAGUGUAGAGGUGAAAUUCGUAGAUAUUCGCAAGAACACCAGUGGCGAAGGCGGCUCACUGGUCCGGUUCUGACGCUGAGGCGCGAAAAGCGUGGGGAGCAAAACAGGAUUAGAUACCCUGGUAGUCCACGCCGUAAACGAUGGAUGCUAGCCGUUGGCAGGCUUGCCUGUCAGUGGCGCAGCUAACGCUUUAAGCAUCCCGCCUGGGGAGUACGGCCGCAAGGUUAAAAC
rnacentral:rRNA from 1 species